rnacentral:rRNA from 1 species
GAUGAACGCUGGCGGCGUGCUUAACACAUGCAAGUCGAGCGAGAAAAGUUCUUCGGAGCUUUUCUAGCGGCGGACGGGUGAGUAACACGUGGGCAACCUGCCUCAUAGAGGGGAAUAGCCUUCCGAAAGGAAGAUUAAUACCGCAUAACAUUGUUGAAAGGCAUCUUUUAACAAUCAAAGGAGCAAUCCGCUAUGAGAUGGGCCCGCGGCGCAUUAGCUAGUUGGUGAGGUAACGGCUCACCAAGGCGACGAUGCGUAGCCGACCUGAGAGGGUGAUCGGCCACAUUGGAACUGAGACACGGUCCAGACUCCUACGGGAGGCAGCAGUGGGGAAUAUUGCACAAUGGGGGAAACCCUAAUGCAGCAACGCCGCGUGAGUGAUGAAGGUCUUCGGAUUGUAAAGCUCUGUCUUUAGGGACGAUAAUGACGGUACCUAAGGAGGAAGCACCGGCUAACUACGUGCCAGCAGCCGCGGUAAAAC